UAGUUGAUCUGCUCAGGACGACGCUGGCGGCGUGCCUAAUACAUGCAAGUCGAGCGGAUCUUUGAGAGCUUGCUCUCAAAGAUUAGCGGCGGACGGGUGAGUAACACGUGGGUAACCUGCCUGUAAGAUUGGGAUAACUCCGGGAAACCGGAGCUAAUACCGGAUAACAUUUUGAACCGCAUGGUUCGAAAUUGAAAGGUGGCUUUUGCUACCACUUACAGAUGGACCCGCGGCGCAUUAGCUAGUUGGUGAGGUAAUGGCUCACCAAGGCAACGAUGCGUAGCCGACCUGAGAGGGUGAUCGGCCACACUGGGACUGAGACACGGCCCAGACUCCUACGGGAGGCAGCAGUAGGGAAUCUUCCGCAAUGGACGAAAGUCUGACGGAGCAACGCCGCGUGAGUGAUGAAGGCCUUCGGGUCGUAAAGCUCUGUUGUUAGGGAAGAACAAGUACCGUUCAAAUAGGGCGGUACCAUGACGGUACCUAACCAGAAAGCCACGGCUAACUACGUG
rnacentral:rRNA from 1 species